rnacentral:rRNA from 1 species
UACGGAGGAUGCAAGCGUUAUCCGGAAUGAUUGGGCGUAAAGCGUCCGCAGGUGGCAAUGUAAGUCUGCUGUCAAAGCGUCUGGCUCAACCAGAUAAAGGCAGUGGAAACUACAUAGCUAGAGUAAGGUAGGGGUAGAGGGAAUUCCUGGUGUAGCGGUGAAAUGCGUAGAGAUCAGGAAGAACACCGGUGGCGAAGGCGGUUCUCUGGGCAUGAUCUGACGCUGAGGAGCGAAAGUGUGGGGAGCGAACAGG